UCAGCAUUGAAUACUGCCUCUCAAGAGCCACAUGAUGAGCAUGGGCAUCACUGUCACCAUGAUCAUGACCACAAACAUGACCAUCAUGAGCAUGAUCACACCCAUGACCCUGGUGUUUCCUCUGUUAAGCAUUGUUUGCGAAGGGGAGAUGGAUCUCUAAAAGUAAAAGUGCUGACACUGACAUAUGCCAGAUGAAGGGACU